GAGUAUCAAUCGCUGAAAAAGCAACAGAUAAGAGAAAAAAACCCUCCUCAAUGUCGCCCACAGUGUCUAUGUAUCUACGUAGCAACUUUUCUUUUCAUCUUUGUAUCAACUGUCUCUUUCACUUCCUCUGUCUCCCUCCUAUCUCCCGCUUUUAAUUUAACAAUGUGUGUAUGUAAAUAUGUAUCUACUUUUUUGUUUUUUCUUUUAUAUAUGUAUCUAUUUGUUUCUGUCUUAAUACUGAAGAAAAGUGUGACGGACAGAUAGGCAGAUGGACGCAGCUCUUAUAGUAUGGAUUCGUACAUACACGCACACAUGAAUACGUACACACAUAUAUGCACACACAUACAUAUGUAUAUAUACACAUGCAUCCACCGAAACACAACCGAGAUAUUAACAUCCAUGAGUGGACGGAUGCGGUGGUGACGUUACAGAUGACAUCAUCAGUGAGAGAGAGAGAGAGAGAAAUGUAGAAGAGGAGGGGAGAUGUGGUAGAGAAAUAUAUUAUUCACACCAUUGUGUGAGAAUAAUGGCUCACUUACUCAUACAUACACACUAAAUAAACUCACAGAUAUUUACGCAAGGCAAUACACACCUACACACGCAUAGACACCACAACACAAUUACAUACAAAGUUUCAUACACACACAUACUCGUCAAGUUAACACCCACUUAUAUCUAUAAACUUUUUCCUAGAAUUUGAUAACCACCGCACUCACAGAUCAUUUUAAAGUCACAAUUUUCCUGCUGUUCCAACGAGCUGGACUUGAAUUUCUGAGAAGCAAUUCAGGCUGAAAUUAAAGUCGAAUCACAAGACACAGACAUGGACAUUAAAGGAAUCAUAGAAAAAAUUGAAGCCUGUGACAUGGAAGGUGCGAAAAACAUGAUAGAACAACAUUCAGAAAGCAUUAACGAAAUACAUUCAAAUGAUAGAAGUUACCUGAUGCUUGCUUCUGAACUGGGCAACAUUGAUUUGAUAAAAUUAUUAGUUGAUGCUGGAGCUGAUUUGAACAUGUGUAACAAAAGCAAGUGUACAGCUUUACAUUAUGCUGUGCAGAGGUAAGUUGAGAAUUAACUAAAAUCUCUAGAUCGGGUUUUGUUUCUAAAUGUCUUCCAAUUCCAAACAGGUUGAAUAUCCAAACACUCCAUAGUAGUGGCAACGUGACUGAAUAACAAAAUGAUAGUCGUAACCAGCACCAUGUUUUUCUUGUUUUUCUCCAUCUAUCAAAUUCAUUAUUGAAUCAAAAAACCCCUUUUUUGUGGGAACUUACUGUCAAAACAGAUUAUUCUUGUUUUGGAGAUAUUUUUUAAGAGCCAACAAUUUUCAAGAUUGACCCAGUGUGAUUCAAUGUUCUCUGUUAAUAUUGGCUACGGUGAGUGUGCCUGUAGUCCAUGUAGACCAAUCCCUUCUCAAUCCACUCUGAAGGACAAAAGGCAGAGGAAGGAGAACUGCAACACCAUGUCAUCAAAUCCUGACCAGACCUUCAACUGCAGCCACCUGCUGCCUGCCUGCUGGUCUCAAAUUGGCAUUGUCAGCCAUGAGUCUAUGUAGACCAGUCCCUUCUCAAUCUUCAUUCAUGAAGCCAAGCCAAUAUACGUCCAACCUGAUUUUUUAUCAGCUGUUUUCACAAAUCCCUCUGAUAUAUUCUCCUUCAUUGUUCACAACUUAUUGCUAUCAUUGCACCAAUUUUUCUUCAAAGAAAAUUUUAUUUCAGCUCCAAAAUGAGAAGAACGAUUCUGCAGCAAUAAUCUGUGAACGUUCUCCGAGAGAUUAUAUCUCACCUCCACCCAAAACAUAACAUAUUCUUAGUUGGAUUCCGACAUGAACUGUGCCUCAUCAUGUCACCUCUGGAAACGCAAACAUAUUUUUAAAGUUCUUAUUAUUUUUAUAGUUUCCUCAAUCACAAGUUUUUGUUGUGCUCCACAUAUACAAGCACUCAAUCCCACGCACACACACACACACACACACACACACACAUCUAUGAAUUUUAAUAGAGAAAUUUCUAUUAACACAACAUGUAAUGAUUGAAUCAGGACACAAUACAUUCUUUUACAAUCCCAGAAAUGUAACUUUGAAAGCAGUUGCAACACUUAUGUCGAUUGAUUGCAAUAUUCAUGGAAUGCAAAUCAAUAUUUUGGAAUAAGAGAAAGAAAUAUUUAUUCAAGAUUUCAUUCUUUACAAUUGUUUUGGCGGCAAAAUUCUCCGCUGCAUCAGAAGAGAAACAUUUCAAAGAAAUAAACUGUCAGAAAAUACUGUCAUCAAAGAAUUUUCAGACAAUAAGAGUGAACAAAUGAAGAAUAAAGACUCAUAGCAAAUGAAAAGAAAAAUCACAAAAGAAAUUGUCAGAGUUGCCAGAAUAAGAACAAGAUGGAGAAAGUUCAGAAAGAUAUUAACUCUGCUGGUGAGAAAAGGUCUCUCUCUUAGAGUGAAAGGCAGAAUAUGUGAUGCUUGUGUAGUAGUGGCUGUGUGGUAUGUAGCUUGCUAACCAACCACAUGGUUCCAGGUUCAGUCCCACUGCGUGGCACCUUGGGAAAGUGUCUUCUACUAUAGCCAUGGGCCGACCAAAGCCUUGUGAAUUGAUUUGGUAGACGGAAACUGAAAGAAGCCCGUCGUAUAUAUAUAUAUAUAUAUAUAUAUAUAUGUGUGUGUUUGUCCCCCCAACACUGCUUGAGAACCGAUGCUGGUGUGUUUACAUCCUCAUAAUGUAGUGGUUCAGCAAAAGAGACCAAUAGAAUAAGUACUAGGCUAACAAAGAAUAUGUCCUGGGGUCGAUUUGUUCGACUAAAGGUGGUGCUCCAGCAUGGCCACAGUCAAAUGACUAAAACACGUAAAAGAAUAAAUAAAAGAAUAAACAGCAAAAGUGUAUGUUAGUGAAAUGUGGACUGUUAAUGUAGAGAUAUGCAGGGACUAGAAUUGAUUAAAACUAGUAUACUCCAUUGGAUGUGUAACAUCAGUGUGUAUGUAAGGCAGAGUGCAAUUGUAUUGAGAGAGAAAUUGGGUAUAAAAGGAAUCAGAUGUAAUGUAUAAGAGAGAAGACAGAACUGGUAUGGGACAUACAAUGGUUAUGGAUGAGACGAACUACACAGAGAAGUGCCAAUCACUUAAGACUGGUAGGAAUUGUGGAAGAGAUACAGGAAAGCAAGUAGUAAAAGUUGAUCUUAGUCUGACAAAGGACUGGAAUGACUGGUGAUCAACGGUGUUUGAGAAAAUCCACUGCACAGAACUACUCAUUUUAUCAUCUUUUCUGAGAUAGAAAUUAUUUUUUUCAGUAGCCAGAACUACUUCACUUAACAGCCAUCCUUCAUUUUUAACAUUAUCCCUCUCCACUCAUGUUUUACAUUGAUCACCCCAUUCCUGGUUCAUGUAAGGAAAGCCACCUGGUCAUACAAACCAUGCCAAAGCAGACAUUGAAACAUGGUGCAGACUUCCAACUCAUCAGAUCCUGUCAAAUCAUUCAACACAUGUUUGUGGAGACGACAGAGUGUAGAGGAUGAUGAAAUUUAAGUAUAGAGGAUGAUGAUGGCAAUGAUAAUGGUGAAGGUGAUGAUGAUGGGGAUAAUGAUCCUAUUGUCUCAUCUGGAAAUCCGUGCAGGGCCACUGUGAAGGACAAAAGGCAGAGGAGGGAGAACUGCAACACCAUGCCAUCAAAUCCUGACCACACCUUCAACUGCAGCCACUGCAGUCCUGCCUGCUGGUCUCAUAUUGUCAGCCAUGCAUGUAGCUGUAGUCAAUGUGGACCAGUCCCUGAUGAAUCUUCAUUCAUGAAGCCAAACCAAUAUACAUCCAUCCUGAUUUUUUAUCAACUGUUUUCACAAAUCCCUCAAUUAUAUAUUCUCCUUCAUUGUUCACAACUUAUUGCUAUCAUUCCACCAUUUGGUAAAUUCAUUGAUGUUAGAAAGAAUCUGGUCUUGACUCAAAGAAUUCAUUGAGCCAUGAUUUCAGCUCCAUUCUGUUGUUGAAUGAAAUGCCUCACUCAGUGUUGGAAUUCAAUUGGAAAGGAUGGUAAUACGAAGGUGUUAUAUCAGGAAAAUGUGGUUGGUGUGGUAGAGCUCCCCAACAGCAUUUCCUGAUCAAAAUUAGUGAACAGUCGGAGAGCAUUGUCAUGUUGAAGAAGCAUGAUGUGUCCUUGGUCAGUCUGUUUCAGGUAGAUUGUCUUGUUGAGUUGGUGCAUUUGCUAAGCAUAAAGCAUUGCAUGGUCCGUGUGAUUGUUUGCAAGCGUUUUGUUGUAGAUUAGCCCUUCCAACUCUUAUCAAACACAGAGCAUUUUGUCUUGCAUGGAAGCAGCGCUGGCUUGUCACAGCUUAACAAUUCUUUUUCUAUUUCAUUUUGAUGUAAAACACCAUUUUUGCUUAUUUCUUGCUCGGCGUCAUCACCUAACAUGGUUUUAACCAUCUUUUUACAAGCGGGUAAGAUAAUCGACUUGGCUAAAGUAUGUGAUUUGGUUUGUAGUGCAGUCAUUCGGCUAUCUCAACAGACGUGACUGGAGCCUUUUCAGAAGCAUUCAUCCUUUUCUCAAAAUAAUUUCUUUGUUUAAAUUGCUAUUCUAGCGGUCUUUGGAAAUAAUUCAGAUCUUUACAUUGAAAAUUUGAGUGUUUAGUUGUAAAAUGUCUUUUCAUCUUGCUAGGUAACAUGCCUUCGUUAGACAUCUUUUCACCACAAACAACGCAUGGCAGAAGAGGUUGAUCCUUGUUACUUGUCCAAUGAAACCCAAACUUCAAAUAGCUUUUUCAAUAUUUAUGAUUGGGUCGAGCUUUCGCAUUAUUAUCACUAUGCUUAGUUGCUUUUGAUGAACGUUCACUUUCAGAUUCGUAAUCGUCAUGGUUAUGCCUUCCAUAUUAUGGGUAAUUUAAUAUGUUAAUAUGAACCGUCUCAUUCAAAGUACUAACAGAUUCAAACUAAGACUGAGACCAGUGACCAGUGAGCUGUGAAAAGUGGCAGCGUGUUACAUUAUCGGACUCUUGUGAGAAGUCUUUGAAAAUUAAUUAAAAAGAUGUAAAUUCUCACCACUAUCUGAAUGAAAAAAAUUGAAAUACAGCCACAAUAUGUGAGGAUGUAUUAACAGAUUUAGUUCAACAGCAUAUGUUUUAUUUCAGUAGUUUAUUUUUCACACUUAUUGAAAUGAAAACUGUAGAAGCUACGACCGAAAUAAGCUGAAACAUAGUCGUGCGCUAGAUAUGUCCAUAAGACAUCAAUUUCGAGGAUGAAUUGAUGCUAAUUUAGUUCUUAUCCUUAUGAAAUUUCAGAUUCAAAAUUAAAUAACUUUGUCAAAUUGUAAUUAACCUAAAUAAAUUGAAUGAGGAGACAACGACCUCUCAUUCUUGGUUUAAAACUUAGUAUUGCAUUUUUUGCCACUUAAACAUUUAUAUAUGAACUUUCUAGUGAAUUUCGGUUUGUAUUUUUCAUAUUUUGAAAUAUAAUCUUACUUAUUCAAGGUGCACCUAAUCCCAUCUUGCGGUGCACAGUUUGGGAACCAUUGGGUUGGGGAGAGGAGUUUCGGAAAAUUCACAGGAAAAUUCCCCUCAUAACUUUCUGGAAAAUAAAUAUUUUUUAAUGAAAUUUUAUACAAAUACUCAGUGUAGAUUAUGAUUAGAAAGAAAUUUGUAGGCAAAAGGUUUUGAAGGGGGUGAGAGGGAGGAAUUUCUGGAAAACAGACGGCCCACAUGAGAAAAGGAAAAAUUUGGCUGCUGUUUCUAGCAUGCCCUGCUACCUCGUAACAACUAUUUGCAUUCACGCCGAAAUAUUACCAACGUUUUUUUCUUCCAUUUAUUUUCCCACUUUAUGGAAGUCAAUAAAUUCUCUGCUGACAUCCACCUCAGUGAGGUCACGGAUCAAGUGGAAACACAUCAAUCACUGUUCUCUCUUGACUAGAAAUUUCUCACUGUCUUUGCAAGCAACAAGUGGGUGGAUUUGGUUUCAAAUCUAGGCAGGGCCAAAUGAUGUCUUACAAGUUAUUUAUAAUAAAAUGUGGCGUUAUAUCAGAGUUGAAAGAAUGACAUGUACAAUAUUAGAUAUGUUAAGACAAUCUGAAAACCAUAUAAACUUUUAAAUGUUUACUGGUUUUUGUGAAGUUUUUGGGGUUAAUGGACUUGAAUUAAUGGAAGUUAAUUAGUCUGAUAAUGAUUUUCAAAGGUAAUUUAAAAGUUAAAUUUUUCACGAAAGCAUUAACUUCAUUAAUUAAUGAUCAACGCCCAGCUGUGUGUGUGUGUGUGUGUGUGUGUGUGUGUAUAUAAAGAUAUUUCAAUGAAUGUAUGAUUGUAAGUACGUAUGUGUGUGCGUGUAUUUAUGUAUGUUGAGAGAGCGAGAUGCAUACUCACAAUGAUUGUGUAUAUAUAUGUUCUUUGUUGGCACUCCGUCGCUUACGACGUCGAGGGUUCCAGUUGAUCCGAUCAACGGAACAGCCUGCUCGUGAAUUUAACGUGCAAGUGGCUGAGCACUCCACAGACACGUGUACCCUUAACGUAGUUCUCGGGGAUAUUCAGCGUGACACAGACUGUGACAAGGCUGACCCUUUGAAUUACAGGCACAACAGAAACAGGAAGUAAGAGCGAGAGAAAGUUGUGGUGGAAGAGUACAGCAGGGUUCGCCACCAUUCCCUGCCGGAGCCUCGUGGGGCUUUAGGUGUUUUCGCUCAAUAAACACUCACAAUGCCUGGUCUUGGAAUUGAAACUGCAAUCCUAUGACUGUGAGUCCGCUGCCCUAACCACUGAG